UUGCUUUGGCAGCACAUAUACUAAGAUUGAAAUGAUAUGGAGAAGAUUAGCACGGCCCCUGUCCAAGGACAACACACAAUUCCAUGAAUCAUUCCAUAUUUCG
rnacentral:snRNA from 1 species